rnacentral:rRNA from 1 species
UACGGAGGGUGCAAGCGUUAUCCGGAUUCACUGGGUUUAAAGGGUGCGUAGGUUGACCGGGAAGUCAGUGGUGAAAUACUCUCGCUUAACGAGAGAACUGCCGUUGAUACUAUCGGUCUUGAAUACGGUGGAGGCGGGCGGAAUGUGUCAUGUAGUAGUGAAAUACUUAGAUAUGACACAGAACACCCAUUGCGAAGGCAGCUCGCUACGCCGUCAUUGACACUGAGGCACGAAAGCGUGGGGAUCAAACAGG